rnacentral:lncRNA from 1 species
AUGGACAUCAUCCUCCCGGAGAAGCUAUCGUACUUAAAUUUAUGCGGCAAUUAUUUGCGAAAUUCGAAAGUUUUCAGGAGAGUAUCGUUUGCGAACAUCAAAACUUUGUGCAUUGGAGACGAAGGCCCACAGCUGCCGAUUGAAUUAUCGCGUGAUUUAUCCGCCUUGAUGCGUUUACAGAAUCUUACGCUCUCCGCUAAACGAAAUGAUGAUAAUACUGAUCUCACCGAUAGGACGGCUCAGGAUCUUGAAAAACUGAGGUCUCUAGUCGAGUUGAAUUUAGGUAAGCCUGCGAAAUGCAAAUUGCUUUAUUCAAGAAGAGCGAGCCACCCUAAGGGAAUCUCAUGUUUUUAAAAGUCAAAAUAAAGUAUCCAUACUAACAGGAGCUAUGAGUCUAGGGUUUUAGUGCAACAUAUAUAGUUCCUUUUGACUCAUAUACGUUCAAAUGGACCCUCCAGUUGCAAGAAGAAACUACAAUUUUCAGCUCAUUAUAGAUACAGCAUAUGUGCAAUAAGAGUUCCUGAGAGGAUAAGUGUUUUCAUGUAUGAGCCAGAAAUUGUAAUUCCCAAUUGUAAAAUACAGUCCAAAUGAUUUCUAUAAAAACAAUUAAAAACAGAAAAUUAAGACAAAAAAUCAAGUGAAGACAGAAGAAUAAAAUCUAUUUCCGCCUUUUCGUUGAAAAUUAUGGUGUACUUGCAUUCAUAGAUCACUACAAAUUGAAGGAUAUUGAUUUCAUCCGGCCCCUGACAAGCUGGAAGUACUUCGACUACACAAUAUUGCGCUAUCGAAAAAGAUUGAACCAGCGGUUUCUUUGAGAGCGACGCUUCAGGACAAGAAAUAUAUCAAAAUCCUAAGCUUAGAUGGCAGUCCAGAUUUAGUUGAAUUAAUACGACCGUAUUUUAUGUGUUUCCAAAACUUGCGGACCAUCAGGUGAGUCCAAAUUUCUCGUUUGCUUUUUACUUUACCUAUUAUACAAUGAGUUUUUUGGGACUUUAAUAGUUUUUUAAAUGAAUGGGGCCACACAGCUUUCAUCCAUCAAUGAGACCCAUUACCAUGACUGGAAACCAUCAGGCCCACCCUGGCCUGUUAAAAGCUACAGUCAAUCGACUUCGAUUCGAUGUCUUUUUGAGAACGACCGCUUGAAAUGUUUCUCAAACGAUCAAAGAAGCGGACCCAGCAAUUUGGCAACACCGGGUUUCCUCCAUUUAAAUCUAUGUUAAAUAAUCGAUUCUUGUCGGACCACUUGACCCCUUCAAGAAUC